CCUACGGUGAGCAGCAGUGAGGAAUAUUGGUCAAUGGACGAGAGUCUGAACCAGCCAAGUAGCGUGAAGGAUGACUGCCCUAUGGGUUGUAAACUUCUUUUAUAUGGGAAUAAAACGUUCCACGUGUGGGAUUUUGUAUGUACCAUAUGAAUAAGGAUCGGCUAACUCCGUGCCAGCAGCCGCGGUAAUACGGAGGAUCCGGGCGUUAUCCGGAUUUAUUGGGUUUAAAGGGAGCGUAGGUGGAUUGUUAAGUUCGUUGUGAAAGUUUGCGGCUCAACCGUAAAAUUGCAGUUGAAACUGGUAGUCUUGAGUACAGUAGAGGUGAGCGGAAUUCGUGGUGUAGCGGUGAAAUGCGUAGAUAUCGCGAAGAACUCCGAUUGCGAAAGCAGUUCACUGGACUGCAACUGACACUGAGGCUCGAAAGUGUGGGUAUCAAACAGGAUUAGAUACCCCAGUAGUC
rnacentral:rRNA from 1 species